GGGCGAGCGCGGUGAGGCGCUCCCGGCCUGGCGUCCUGGUUCCGCAGACCCUGCCGUCUCUCCUGCCCCGGCCCGGCUCACCCUCAUGUACCGCGCGCUGUACGCGUUCCGCUCGGCGGAGCCCAACGCGCUGGCGUUCGCCGCGGGCGAGACCUUCCUGGUUCUGGAGCGCAGCAGCGCGCACUGGUGGCUGGCGGCGCGGGCGCGCAGUGGCGAGACGGGCUACGUGCCACCCGCCUACCUGCGCCGCCUGCAGGGCCUGGAGCAGGAUGUCCUCCAAGCCGUUGACAGGGCCAUUGAGGCUGUGCACAAUGCAGCCAUGCGGGAUGGUGGCAAGUACAGCCUGGAGCAGCGCGGGAUCCUCCAGAAGCUGAUCCACCACCGGAAAGAGACCCUGUCCCGCAGAGGCCCCUCAGCCCCCAACCCUGCAGCUAUGACCCCGUCCACCAGUGACCACCACCUGGAUGCUGCUGCUGCCAGGCAGCCCAAUGGGGUGUGUAGAGCUGGGUUCGAGCGGCAGCACAGCCUGCCCAGUUCUGAGUAUCUUGGGGCAGAUGGAGGCCUCUACCAGAUCCCACCACAGCCUCGCCGGGCAGCACCUGCCACGCCACCCCCACCUGUGAAGCGCCGAGACCGCGAGGCCCUAGUGGCCUCGGGGAGUGGCGGCCGCAACACCACGCCCUCUGGGGGCAGUUCUGUGUCCAGCGGCUCCUCUGUCAGCAGCACCUCCCUUGACACACUCUAUACCGGCUCCAGCUCAUCGGAGCCAGGCCCCAGCUGCUCACCCACGCCCCAACCUGUGCCCCGCCGAGGCACGCAUACCACUGUGUCCCAAGCUCAGCCCCCUCCCUCCAAGGUGCUAAACUCGGAGCCCCCUACAGAGGAGGUAGCAGUUGAUGCAGCCCCAGCCCCUGAUGAGCUGGAAGCCCUGGGUGCGCUGAGCCUGGGGACCACAGAAGAGAAGGCGCUGGCUGAGACUGCUGUGCCCAGGACCAUCGGGGCAGAGCUGAUGGAGCUCGUGCGGAGGAACACCGGCCUGAGCCACGAGCUGUGCCGAGUGGCCAUUGGCGUCGUGGUGGGUCACAUCCAGGCCUCCGUGCCGGCCAGCUCACCUAUCAUGGAGCAGGUCCUCCUCUCACUGGUAGAGGGCAAGGACCUGAGCACUGCUCUGCCCUCAGGGCAGGUCUGCCACGACCAGCAGCGGCUGGAGGUGAUCUUUGCCGACCUGGCCCGGCGGAAGGAUGACGCCCAGCAGCGCAGCUGGGCCCUGUAUGAGGAUGAGGGUGUCAUCCGCUGCUACCUGGAGGAGCUGCUGCACAUUCUGACGGAUGCAGACCCUGAAGUUUGCAAGAAAAUGUGCAAGAGGAAUGAGUUCGAGUCUGUCCUGGCCUUGGUGGCCUAUUACCAAAUGGAGCACCGGGUGUCACUGCGGCUGCUGCUCCUUAAGUGCUUCGGCGCCAUGUGCAGCCUGGACGCAGCCAUCAUCUCCACACUGGUGUCAUCUGUGCUGCCUGUGGAGCUGGCGCGGGACAUGCAGACGGACACACAGGACCAUCAGAAACUCUGUUACUCCGCCCUCAUUCUGGCCAUGGUCUUCUCCAUGGGGGAGGCAGUGCCCUAUGCACACUAUGAGCACCUGGGCACACCCUUCGCCCAGUUCCUGCUGAGCAUCGUUGAGGACGGGCUGCCCUUGGACACCACCGAGCAACUGCCAGAUCUCUGCAUGAAUCUACUUCUGGCUCUCGAUUUGCACCUGCCAGCCCCUGACCAGAACUUCAUCAUGGCCGCCCUGAGCAAACACGCCAAUGUCAAGAUCUUCUCCGAGAAGCUACUGUUGCUCCUGAACAGAGGGGAUGACCCCGUGCGCAUCUUUAAGCAUGAGCCUCAGCCACCACACUCCAUCCUCAAGUUCCUGCAGGACGUGUUCGCCAGCCCCGCCACAGCUGCCAUCUUCUACCACACAGAUAUGAUGGCGCUCAUCGACAUAACCGUGCGGCACAUCGCGGACCUGUCGCCUGGAGAUAAGCUUCGCAUGGAGUACCUCUCCCUGAUGCACGCUGUGGUCCGCUCCACACCCUACCUACAGCACCGCCACCGGCUCCCCGACCUGCAGGCCACACUGCGACGCAUCCUAACCGAGGAGGAAGCCUCGCCCCAGUGCCAGAUGGACCGCAUGAUUGUCCAAGAGAUGUGCAAGGAAUUCCCGGUGCUGGGCGAGGCCCCCAGCUAGCACCUUCUUUUCCUCCCUUCCCUGCAGCCUUGGGUAGGGUGCAGGGGACUCGGAGGCUUGGCCCUAAGAAUGUUUUGCACUGACAGUGUGAGGGGAGGUGUUGGUGGAAGGGACCUAAGCAGGGGCCCCCACCUGAAAUAGAGCUAAUGAGAGGGGCCAAGCGCAGGAUUAGGGACCAUGCGCUGGGAGCUAUGCUGGGGCAGGGGGAGUGUGAACUGAAGCCCCUCCAUCUCCCGCUGGGCUGCCUAUUCAGCAUGCCUCCCCACGCCACACACAUGCACACUCAGAGUCCUGCUGCUGCUCCAGGCUGGGCCAGAGCCCUCAUCCCUUGCGCCCACCUGGUCUGUGUCCUGGGCUUCAGCAAGCUGUGUCCCUGGGGUGAGAGGAGGCACCUUCCGCCAGCUCCGUUCUUUGCCUUAGCUUCGCAGUGAGUGCUGCUCAUGUGCUCUGUCCCCCCAGCUGCCACCCCGUGGGGGUCUCUGCCCCUCAUUCCAACCCCAGAGGCCUUGGCCAAGCUGCUGCUUUGAAAGCAGAGUCUUAGAGACAGGCCAUCCACCCUGGAGCCUCACAGAAUGAGGUGAUGGCACUGAUAAAGUCAAUGACAGAAUAUAUUUUCUCUGUAAAAACGUAGACCGAAAAGCCAUGUGUAUUUUCCUAUGUGCUGCAGCUCAGCUUGGAAAUAAAUCACAGGCAUCUGGAAACAGGCUUCCUGUAUGAUCCUGAGUGGUGGUGGGAGAGGAUGGUCAGGGGCACUGGGGCCUCAGGACCUGUCCUCUCCAGCCUGAGGAGGUGAUGGUCCCUGACAGGCCUCUCCAUUGAGGUCCCUUGAGCCCUGUUCCAGCCUCUCUUCCCUGGGUUCCCACUUCUCCUGGGCCACGGCCACAGCCACUGAGAGCCCCGUGGUCCAUUUGCAGGUGACCUCUCCAGGCUUCACUUAAUCUUUCUUUGCCUUGAAUGCUGUGUCUGUCUCCCCUGUUGAAACCCUAUAUCCUUUACACCUGUUCUCAAAUGAAGCGUCUCCUAUCCAAGCCCUGGCCUCCCCGAACUCCUAGGCCUGCCCAGCUGUUUGCCUUCCUUAUUUGCCUCCCCCUGGAUCCAGCGAUGUUCCCUCAUUUUGCAGCCUUAGCGGUGAUUUGGUAAUUACGGUAGGACAAAAAGAAUAUCUCAACGAGUGUGGGGUUAGUUGUGCACUGUUUGAGGGGAAUCAGAGGCCAAGGCUGGACAAAAAACUUUUUCCUCGUGGGCUCCGCAGUUAACGAAGCCUGUCACCAUAACUUGGGGAAGAGAGUCAAAACCUGUAGGCAGACACCAGGCAGCAGUGGUUUCCAUCAGAUCCCUUCAGUUUGUUACCCAAGACGAGUUUCAUCAGAUUCCACACAUCGAGAAUCACUGAUACUGCGACUUCUCGCCACGACUUUUCCUUUCUUAAUGGGGUGCUGAAGGCAGAGGGCUGUUACUCUCCCAGCAGAACGCAAUACAGCAAGAAGCCCAGCAAAGCCAGUCUAGGGGUGGGGUCCCAGGGAAACAGGUCCAUGGGAGCAAAGCAGAGGAGGCCAGCAGGGAGAUGUCCUUCCUGACCUGUUGACUCUUCCGGAAGUUUAAGUGCACAGGCUCACCUGGACCUGAGGAGGAGCUGACACAGUUGUCUGCAGGAAAGCUGUGUGUGGUACCACCUGGUCACUUCAUCCUGGAGGCCUCUGCCUCCCUUCCACAGAUGGAAUCAACAAUGCUGACUUCCAGGCUCCAGACGCACAGGUUCAGCUGCCAUGGCUCACGGGCACAGCCACUCCGCGGCAUGUGGGAUCUUCCUGGACUGGGGCACGAACCCAUGUCCCCUGCAUCGGCAGGCGGACUCCCAACCACUGCGCCACCAGGGAAGCCCCUCAUGUCUUUAUUCUUGAUUCUCUUCUUCAUUCUUCUUUUUUUGUUACAAUCACAGGUUUAUAUAUUGUAGUUGAUUACGUUACCAGGUAUGUGGCCAAACAAUCUUAGCACAAUCAAACCUCAAAAUAUUCUAUAAAGAUUUUUUAAAACAAAUAUCCCCUAGUUUCUAGAUGUCCUAUUAAAAUAUUUCCCCAAGUUCCCAUUAAUCACAGGUUGUUUCUUAGUAACCAAGUCAAGCAAUUAUAUGAUUAUAUCAAUUGUAAAAGUUGGAGCUACUUGUUCCUAUUUUUCUUCUUGCAUGAGCAACCUUUUACAAUGGUUCCAUGAAAAUAUUUACAAUGUACCUGCAUGCUCUUUCUCGUUUCCUUCAACUGAGACAGUGUUUUCUCCCUAUCCUGGCAAUGAAUUCUGCUCUAGUCAUUUGUUUUUCUAUAAUUAAUCUUCCUUUAUAAUAGAACCAUAAAUUUCCUAUGUCGUCAUCAGGAACUCCGGCCCAUGGCCAUAACUCCAUACUAGAGGGUGUUUUUCAUAAAAACAUCCCCUUAGUUCCAGGGUCUUAAUUCUUUACCUAUUUCCCCGGGGCUUUAGUGGGUACUUCCCAUUCUGUGGUAGUUUCAGGAGGGGGAGUCCUAGAGGAAUUUUUCUUUCACGUGGAGCAACAUCCCCCCAAAAUUGCCCCUGUAUGUAAAUUUAUCAUCAUAAAACAUAACAACGGAGCUGUAGUCCACCUUCCUGGCACGACGCUGCCUUGCAGUUUCGCCUUCCGUUGCUCAUGACUUUGUCAUGGUGCAAUGGCUCCAGGAUGGCUUCCGACAGUGGGGCUGAGGAUAACUCAAAAUUUUU